GCUAUACUUCCAUCAUCUCCAUACUUGCUGGGAGAUUGAGUAAUUGGUCUCUGGAUGUGCGUGUGCUGCUUCCCAAAAUAUCUCUUUAAAAAGACGUGAGAAGGAUGCGGAGACAGUGGGGCAAGAAGAGAUGUAUACAGUAAACAUUUUCAAAGGAGGAGCUUAUCCUGAUUUCUUGGACCUGAAAUGUAAUCCAUGUAUCCUUAUAAGACAGAACAGAGGACAUAGAAGAAGAAGACCUGGAGGCAGAAGUAGAGUGAUGCAGCCACAGCCUAAGAACAUCUGGGGUCACUAGAGGCUGCUACAGAGCUACACAACAACCUGCCCAAGAUUCAGGAGGAAGACAACAAAGAAUAAAAUAGAGAGGUAAAGAGGCUGUCUGUGGUUCCAUAAUGAGAUAGUGGCAAAGACUAUAACUGACUCUCAACACCAAGCUCUUUCCAUUUUACA